rnacentral:rRNA from 1 species
UACGUAGACCUCGAACGUUAUCCGGAUUUACUGGGCGUAAAGCGUGCGUAGGCGUCCUGGUCAGUCUCUGGUGAAAUCUCCGGGCUCAACUCGGAAAUUGUCAGAGAUACUACCAGGAUCGAGUAUGGCAGAGGCAGAUGGAAUGCUUGGUGUAGCGGUAAAAUGCGUUGAUAUCAAGCAGAACACCAGUGGCGAAGGCGAUUUGCUGGGCCAUCACUGACGCUGAGGCACGAAAGCGUGGGUAGCGAACGGG